GUGUUCAAUUCAGCAGCACACAUACUAAAACCGGAACAAUACAGAGAUGAUUAGAACAAUACAGAGAUGAUUGAUUACAAUGGCCCCUGAAAGAAAGACAUGCAAAUUCAUGAAGCGUUCCAUAUUUUU
rnacentral:snRNA from 1 species